GGGCAGCUCAGCUGGUUAGAGCAUGGUGCUGGUAACACCAAGGUUGCAGGUUCGAUCUCUGUAAAGGACAGCUGCA